rnacentral:lncRNA from 1 species
ACCGACUCUGCCCUGCACAGGAUUGUGGAGAUCGUAGACGCCAUCACCACCACGGCUCAGAGCCACCAGAGGACGUUUGUGUUAGAAGUGAUGGGCCGCCACUGUGGAUACCUGGCCCUUGUCACCUCUCUGUCCUGUGGGGCCGACUGGGUUUUUAUUCCUGAGUGUCCGCCAGACGAUGACUGGGAAGAACACCUUUGUCGCCGGCU